rnacentral:rRNA from 1 species
AACGUAGGAGACAAACGUUAUCCGGAGUUACUGGGCGUAAAGGGCGUGUAGGCGGUUCGUUAAGUCUGGCGUGAAAGCUCUCGGCUAAACCGGGAGAGGUCGUUGGAUACUGGCAAACUAGAGGACGGUAGAGGCGUGUGGAAUUCCGGGUGUAGCAGUGAAAUGCGUAGAUAUCGUAAGGAAGACCAGUGGCGAAGGCGAAUCUCUGGACAGUUACUGACACUGAGGCACGAAGGCCAGGGGAGCAAACGGG